UGUCGGUUCAUAUUUCGUAUGGUUUAUUGUCGAAAAUAUAUAUCCCAUAUAAAUAACUGUCGCAAACAUUUUCAAGUGUCGAUUUGUUAAAUAAUAAUUUUUGAAAAUAUACAAUUCGUACGAUAUGUCGUUCGCCAAAACAGUGCGUACCGCAAUCGAUUAUAAUAUAAAUAACUGUAAGUAAAAAUUUGAUUGAUUUUAA